CAGAGUGUGCUGGAGUCAGUAAGGAGAACUGGGGCCUGAUUGCUGAAAGUGUGCAACACGUGGGAGGAACAUGAAGGCUGUUUUGGCAUGAGCAUUAAGCCAUUACUCUGUAUUAUUACAUGCACUACUUGAGGUCUGAUCUUCAGCUACUGUCAUAGAUCUAAAGGUCAGCAGCGAUGGUCAUGAUCAUCUAAUUUAACUUCCUGAAUAACCUAAGCGGUGGGAUUGCCUUCAUGAAUUGUUGCUGCAAGACUGAAGCCUGACUUCCCGGCCGCGCUCUCUCCUGUGCCAUAUCAGCCCUGCUGAAUCGGGGAUUCAACGCUCAGCCUCCUCU